GGUAUUGUCAGUGUAGUGGUAGUACGCGCUUCUAAUAUGAGUGGAGCGCGAGUUCAACUCCCGCCACAUGUCG